AAUCUACUACAAUAGUAGAUUUCUACUAUAGAUGGUCACACUGACUGGAAGGGACCUGUAGGUUAAGAUUCAUAGAAUACCUGGUGUGUGUGUUGAUUUUGAUUCGAUUUUAAGCGCGUUCGGUUAUUACCACGGACCGCUCGGACUUGGAUUAUAUCUGUCUUUAAUGUUUGUUUAUUUAUAAAAAUUAACAUUUCGUCGUAGUUUGUAUUGAAAAAUUUCAAUACCUACCUUGUUAUACUUCUAUAAUUGGAUUUAAAUAAAAUUAUGGGUAUGGUAUGCAGAUAACAAAUGAAUAGGGGGUGUGCAUAUUUUUGGAAUGAGAUAUCUGGUGGUGACUGGGCAAAAUCAUUAGUAAGACUUUGGAGACAGUUUUUUCAGGAGCGAUGGACAUUCAAGCUAUAGAUAUGAAGAAAAAGGUCAAGCUUUUUAAAAAUCUGGCCAUGUUUACAACAUAUGAAGCGGAUUGGUUUCAUUACUUCUAAAUUAAUGAGACAAAUUUCACGGAAUUUACCACCUUAUAAUAUCGAAAUUAUGUAAGAAAGUUGUAUGAAGCAGAAGAAAUUUAUUCCUUCAAGGGUACCGACUGGGACAUCAGCAAGUCCCAGAAGUAUUUUAUAAAUGUCCCGUUCAGCAAUAAAUAUUCCGGCAUGGAAUUAAUUGGGAAUAUAAAGCCAGAUCAGUGUAUUCAAGAGAAAAAAAUACCAUAUUCGGGAAAAGGACUUGCAGUUUGUCAGUCGGACCCAAUGCAUGUUGCUUUUCUGGAUAGAGUUAUAGAAUGAGGAGUCAGUGCAAUUAUUGAAAAUCAAAUGUCCAUUCAUUGGCAAGUUUCUAGUUAGUUAUAAACAUAAUUUUUAUAAUUGAUUAUAAUUUCAGGUCAAACUAUUUCUGUAUGAUUGGGAGUGAAAUUAUUAGGAGUUUAGAGCUUGAUGUAAUUAAUAAUCUGGCAUUAGUUCAGAACACAUUUAUUGAAAUUAGCGGUAAUCAUAGACAAAUAAAGAGAAGACUGACAACUGCGUAUUCGUUUGAAAUGUUGAUGCUAGCGACCCGAGGGCCAGGGUUUGGAACUAAUGUAUCGCUAUUUCCCACAAAAACAUAUUUCAUCCUUAUCUACUGAAAAUGAUGAAAUGUUUUAGGCGUAAAUUCCAACCUCUCUUUUGUGUUUCAGUUCUGUUGUCUAUAGGCCGCUACAAGGACUCAUCGUCCUUCAUACGCUAGUUCGUCUAUUCACCGCUAGAUGAACCAAUUGUCUUCUAUAAUCUAGUUCAUCUAGCUGCCGCUAGAUGGACUAAUCGAUUUGUUGUAGGCAUGUUUGAAAAAAAGUUACCCAGGGUGAACUCUAACAGGUUUUUUUACUUAUCCGAAUUGAUCAUUUCACGUUACCCUUCAAUUAUACAGUCCCAACAAAAUAUUACAAAUGCUAAAGUAUUGAAUAUUUUUAGGAAUACUACAGAAAGUUGCAUAACCAUUUUUAUUUAUUUAUUAAGAGAUAACUCAAUUUACAUAAAAUGUUAUAAAUUUAUAUGACUAGGUUACUUAAAACUUCUCAUAUUGAUAACUAUUUAUCGAAUUAUAUUAUUGCUUGACUAAUGAAUCGUCAAAAAUAAUGAGAAUUCAAUUGAAAAUAUUUCACUUAUGAAAUGUAUUCAUUUUGAAAAUAUAUUCGGCAUAUUAUACGACUAUUCUAAAAUAAUUAAAAU